GUAUAUAGCUCAAUUUAGUCAGACUUUAGAAAAACUUUAAUUUCUUUUAAUUUGGCACUACACACACGCACACACUUAUAUAUAGAUGUUCAUGGAAUUGAAGUUUACAAAGCUGCACCAUUUUAUUCUUCUUCUCAUUUAUAAAUUUUUCUUGGUAUUUGUGUUUUUCUUGAAGAUGAGGAAAAUAAAAUUAAGAGCCAUGUCUAGUAAAUAUGUAAAAUGCUUGUUUUUGUUUCUCAUAGCUUUUAUUGCCAUAGAUCAUCACCCACAGAGCUCUCAAGCCACAGCUGCUAUUCUUAAUCAACAGAGUAAGUCUCUUUAUAUUCUGUUAUAAAUUAGUCGAGCUUGAGCUUGAGUUCGAGUUCGAGUUCGACCGCGAGUUUAAUUUGCUAAUUAAAUCUAUCAUAUGAUGGUAGAUGGGCAUUUUGAAACAUGCAUAUAUACGUCUUCGUUCCUCAAAAUUGUGCACAGUUGCAAUUUCUAUUCUGAGAAAUUAUCCUUUAUUUUUUAACCUCAACAUUUCAACUUAUUUACAACAAAUACUAAUUUGUGAGGCUUUUUUCUCGCUCGUAACUCUAUACCUCAAGUUUGCCAAUUUUCUAGUUCAUAUCAUGACCUUUCUUUUUUGUCAGAAAAUACAUGAGUUUAAGAUUUGAUUCUGAAUCGUCUCCGACGGGCAAUUUCGCCUAAAUCCAAUCUGAAUAAUCCAUUAAUUAAGGGAUCUAAGCGAAGCUGCAGACCAAUAAUAGGGUGAAUAUGACAAUUUUUUUCAAAUUCAAUCUGAAUAUUCUCACGACUUGCUAUUUUUCACUGCAACAUUAAAUUGGUUCUGAGUGAAAUUGUCCGUCGUUGGACGAUUCUGAAUCAACCUUAAAUUUAUGUAUUUUAUUGCAAAAAUUAAAGGUCAUCAGUGGCGGAGCCAGGAAUUAAUUUGGGAGGGGGCUGAAUUUGUACGAGGGUUCGGGGGCGGUAGCCCACGAGAUUUUUUUUUUGGAUAUUCCGUAUAUUUAAGACAUUUUUUUUAUUAAAAGAUGAGCAUAAUAGUAAUAAUAAAGAACAACAUUUUCGUAGAUUGUAUAGUUUCAAUAUAUUACAAAUUAAUUUCAAUACAUUACAAAGUUUUUUUUUUGUCAUUUCAUACAUUUUAGGCAUUUUCUAUUAAAAGACAAGCAUAAUAGUAAUAAUAAUGUAUAAUAUUUUUAUAGAUUAUAUAGUUUUAAAUAACACAAUUAUCCUUAUAUUAAUUAUAUAUGGAAGAAUAUAAUAAGCAAAUCAACUUUUGUAAAACAAAUUUCUUUUAUAAUAUGACAUAUAUCUAUAUUAUUAAAAAUUUAAAAAAAAAGUGUGCACUCUUUUCAGGACUGAGGGAGAAUUUGUUUUUGUGAAAAUUAUAAAAUCAUAUAAAGGAUUAAUAAUUUGAAUGCAUCUUUAAAUUACUAGAAUAAGUAAUUUUUUAUUUAUAUGUAUGACUAUAUUAGUAGCUAAUGUUGUUUUUUAUAUUUUAUUUUGGAACUAUGUAUCGAUUAUUCAGGAACAUUCUCGAACAUUGGAUUAGUGUGCCACUGUUGUGAUGAAGCAAAUGGGGAAUGCAAAGACAAAUGGGAGGGCAACUGCCAAAACAAGCUUAAAUGUGUUCCAUGGAAGCAAUUUUAGUCAAGAAGUUGUAAUAUUAUUGUCAUUUUUUUCAUAUAAUAAUAACAAUAUGAAAUGCAUGUAUAUCAAAUUAAUGCGCAUGUGUGACACGUAAAAAUAAGGCAUAGAAAUAUUUAUAUUAUUGAAAGUUUAAAUUUAAUAUCAUUAGAUUAGAUU
rnacentral:lncRNA from 1 species